rnacentral:rRNA from 1 species
AACGAACGCUGGCGGCAUGCCUAACACAUGCAAGUCGAACGAGACCUUCGGGUCUAGUGGCGCACGGGUGCGUAACGCGUGGGAAUCUACCCUUGGGUUCGGAAUAACUCAGAGAAAUUUGAGCUAAUACCGGAUGAUGUCGCAAGACCAAAGAUUUAUCGCCCAAGGAUGAGCCCGCGUAGGAUUAGCUUGUUGGUGAGGUAAAAGCUCACCAAGGCGACGAUCCUUAGCUGGUCUGAGAGGAUGAUCAGCCACACUGGGACUGAGACACGGCCCAGACUCCUACGGGAGGCAGCAGUGGGGAAUAUUGGACAAUGGGCGAAAGCCUGAUCCAGCAAUGCCGCGUGAGUGAUGAAGGCCUUAGGGUUGUAAAGCUCUUUACCCGGGUAUGAUAAUGACAGUACCGGGAGAAUAAGCCCGGCUAACUCCGUGCCAGCAGCCGCGGUAAU